AGUUUAGGAUGCUUCGAGGGAAAGAUGAACCGGGGAACCGCCACCGUGACUAUUUCUCAUCUACAUAUCCACCCCACCGAAAUUCUUAAGGUGGAGUGGACUUCAUUUUAUUUGCAAAUGUGGAAGGCAUUAUAAAAACCGUGAAUGAUGCCCCCUCCCAUGAGGGAUACAGGGAGAGCCACAUGAAGAGGAUGUUGGGCUUCUUCAAGCUGGGAGGGCACUGAGCUGACUGUUUACCACACUCACCAGGGGCCUUUGUGCAUCCUGUGGGGCAGCUCUGGGAAAGG
rnacentral:lncRNA from 1 species